rnacentral:rRNA from 1 species
UACGGAGGGUGCGAGCGUUGUCCGGAAUCACUGGGCGUAAAGGGCGCGUAGGCGGCUCAUUAAGUGGCUGGUGAAAUCCCGGGGCUCAACUCCGGGGCUGCCGGUCAGACUGGUGGGCUCGAGCACGGUAGAGGCGGAUGGAAUUCCCGGUGUAGCGGUGGAAUGCGUAGAGAUCGGGAAGAAUACCGGUGGCGAAGGCGUUCCGCUGGGCCGUUGCUGACGCUGAGGCGCGACAGCGUGGGGAGCAAACAGGAUUAGAUACCCUGGUAGUCCACGCCGUAGACGAUGGGCACUAGGCGUCGGGGGGAGCGACCCUCCCGGUGCCGUCGCUAACGCAGUAAGUGCCCCGCCUGGGGAGUACGGCCGCAAGGCUGAAACUCAAAG